UGUUGAAAGAUUUUAUGUUUUAUAUGUUUUUAUUCGUUGUUUUAUUAUCUUUCAUUAACAAGCAUAUCAUGAAGUGUUCAUAUAUUUCAUAAGAUUUGCUGAACUUUUCCACUGUUGUGCAAGCUGACAGUUAACUCUACAACAUAAAUAAGUUAAACCGGAAACAGAUGCAGCACCCAAACCACAAGAGUUCAAAAGUGCACCACGUUUCCUAAAAAGAAGUAGCCAGACACACAUGUGACUCACACACUCCCACACACACAACCAUUGGAUUAGAGGAACUUCUAAAAGAGGAAAUGUGAUGUACUUGCAUACGCGAUGUAACCUAUAAAUAAAGAACUGUGCCUGCACUCAGGGUGUGGGUCUCGCCAGAGUCCUCACCCGUGCGCGGGGUCUCGCCAGAGGCCUCACGCAUGCACGUUGCUGUUAUUAUAUUCUAACUGUCUGAGUGUCUUUAUUCAACCUGAAGAAUGUCUUAUUAAAAAUAAACUCUUGACAUUUAAUUGGUCCUUCGAGUCCGGAUGUAGGACAUCGAAUUAUAACUAAUUUUAUGCUCCAACGGAGUGACCUCGUCGUUUCCUGACAUCGUGGAGAGCCCGCGCUGAAGUCUGUCGACAGCCUCUUUCCUAUGAAGGAGAAAAAGACCAACUGCGUGAAUUCGGGGUUGGCCAGCGUUCUUAGUAAGAGGUCCACGAUCCUGGGGAACGAGGAGGAAUCUCUGACCGGCACUUAUAUCAUCAUAACCAGGUGAAUAUUAACACUCAAAGACACAUCGCGAAUAAUCGUCUUUUAGAUUGACACUUUUCUAAGGGAAAAACUCGUCCUGUAGGGACUGGCAGUUUAAAAAAAGACUCGCUUAGUAAGACGAAACUGGCAGUCCAGAAGAGACUCGUUUCGCAAUAAAAAAAAGCUGGUAGUCUAAAAGACUCGCUUGUAAGACGAAACUGGCAGUCCAGAGGUGACUCGUUUCGCAGCAAAAAAAAGCUGGUAGUCUAAGAGACUCGCUUGUAAGACGAAACUGGCAGUCCAGAGGUGACUCGUUUCGCAAUAAAAAAAGCUGGUAGUCGACAAAUUUACUCCGGGAGUAAAUGGGAAAAGGAAAGUGUCAAUUAAAAUAGGAUUACACUGCCGCGUAUGUGAAUUGUUUGUAUUUAAAAAGAGGAAGUGAGUGUCAUUUGAAGAGGGACAGUAGGACCCUACACCACUUCUAUUGUUUUCCUGUGUCGACUGAAAUACUGGUGAGGAAGGGAAAAGGUUGCGCUUCAUCGCAUAAAAUUAAGGCCGCCCUUGACAUUAGGACAAGGGUAGAAGGCUGCCUUAAUAACCUCCCCUAACUCUAAUACCAGAGAAGGUCACACAGUUCUGUUUGUAGUAUUAAUAACACAAAAUCAAAAUGGGAAAUAAAACAACAAAACUCACUGCUGACGAGCAGUGGCUAGAAAAGAAAUGUCCAGGCGCCGGACAAAUUAGUGCAUAUAGAUGGAGAAAUCCAAAGAAAACUAAAUGUCCCACGUGGGAGGGAAAAUGCAUUAACUAAAUUAUAAGAAACCCUCCAAGCAGAAAUAAAUACUGAAAAGGAAGCUAAAAAGAAAUCAGAACAUACACAAGAGUUGUAAUAUUUUAAAGCAUGGAAAGAGGAAUGAAGUGGAAUAAACAAAAGGUUAAAUUAAGGUUAACUUAAAUUAAAGCAAUGAAACAAAAUUGGGAAGACAGCCAAGCUGAAUGAAUAGAAUGCGUGAAACCAGAUAAUCCACACAAAAUAUAUCAAAUAAAAAAGAGAGAUGCAUAAGGCAUAUUAAGGCUGCGUCAUUGUUCAGCCAAGGAAAAUGUCUCCAGCUUGGGAAGGU
ensembl:lncRNA